CCUACGGGGGGCAGCAGUGGGGAAUAUUGCACAAUGGGGGAAACCCUGAUGCAGCGACGCCGCGUGAAGGAAGAAGUAUUUCGGUAUUUAAACUUCUAUCAGCUGGGAAGAAAGUGACGGUACCUGACUAAGAAGCCCCGGCUAACGACGUUCCAGCAGCCGCGGUAAUACUGAGGGGGCAAGCGUUAUCCGGAUUUACUGGGUGGAAAGGGAGCGUUGGCGGUUUAGCAAGUCAGAAGUGAAAGCCCGGGGCUCAACUCCGGGACUGCUUUUGAAACUGUUGAACUAGAGUGCAGGAGGGGUAAGUGGAAUGCCUAGUGUAGCGGUGAAAUGCGUAGAUAUUAGGAGGAACACCAGUGGCGAAGGCGGCUUACUGGACUGUAAAUGACGCUGAGGCUCGAAAGCGUGGGGAGCAAACAGGAUUAGAUACCCCUGUAGUC
rnacentral:rRNA from 1 species